UUCCCAAUUCCCUUUAACGGUGACUGUUGUAUAAUAUCGUCCCAGGAGUACAUGAAUUAUCCUUCAGUGGCUCAGUUAUUCUGACAGAUCCAUCUGUACUCAUCAUGAGAGCAUGUCCCUAAUGGGAAAGUAUCACUUUUUCUAUGGGAAAAUGAUAAUGCUUUAUUCCUCCUCCCUACCCUGAGUGAAACUGUAAUACACUUGUAUUGCUGUCAAGAGGUUGUUGCAUG